UAUACAGAAACAAACGAAAACCACUGAACCCAGUCUCUUGACUUGGGACAGGCACAUACAUACAGAAUGUGGCGGGUUAAACAUGGGAAAAUACUUGUUAUAGUUAUUCAAUCUAACUAGGAUACAAUUGAUAUGAAGACUUAAAAUAUAUAUACCAAAGAACUGGUCAUGAUUGAGGUUUAAGGUUUUCCAUACUAAAAUAUGCACUGACAAAAAAAAAACAUUCUUAAGCAUUCGCAUUGCAAAUGUUAAUCUGUCUUUCAAGCACGACAAAAUCUACACCUUUUUCGGAAAAUUUAUAUUUAUAUUUAG
rnacentral:lncRNA from 1 species